UACGUAGGGUGCAAGCGUUGUCCGGAAUUUUUGGGCGUAAAGAGCUCGUAGGCGGUCUGUCGCGUCGGCUGUGAAAACCCGGGGCUCAACCCCGGGCCUGCAGUCGAUACGGGCAGACUAGAGUUCGGCAGGGGAGACUGGAAUUCCUGGUGUAGCGGUGAAAUGCGCAGAUAUCAGGAGGAACACCGGUGGCGAAGGCGGGUCUCUGGGCCGAUACUGACGCUGAGGAGCGAAAGCGUGGGGAGCGAACAGG
rnacentral:rRNA from 1 species